UACAGAGAGAGGCUGGCUCAUGAUGGCUAGUGUGACAGUUGGCGGCAGUUGAAGCAGCCAUCUUAGGUUAGAGGAUGAAGAGGGGAGUGGUGAUGCAGCUCCUCCCCUGGAAAGACAAGCAGUAAGCAGCCUACGAGGAAGCAGGCUCUCCCUCUGCAAUUAACAUAGACCUGGCAACCUCCACAGUGGAAGGGGACAGUGAGGCAUUGGUGAUUGCAGGAGCAAACAUCCCAGCUAAGCAAGCCCCUGUGAGAGAUACUGUCAUCAACUGAUGGACGCUUCAACUUUCUGAUAAAAAAUAGAAAAGGCUACAAAGAGAAAAAUGACAUUUUAACAAGGAUACCCAAUUACAUCAAAGGCAACCUCUCUUCUUCAAAACUUAAAAGAGAAAAUGUACUACCUGGCGCCUUAAUCCUUAUCUAAACAGAUGACAUACAAAGUCUUUUCUUACCCCCUAGGGCGGGGUAGAGAUUCCCCAUCUGAACAGAGCAAACAAGAUUUCUGCAAAUUUAGUGUAAAACUGAUGAACGGAAAUACAAAAUAACCAUUGUAACGCUGGUCUAGUUGGAACUAAAUAAAGUACUGUAUGGUGACCUGUCAGUUAAUACCACUAAAUAUUAUUUGAACUUCCUCAUAGUCAUUUAAAUUAAAGAGUUAAAAACUGUAUCAUUGUUUAAAAAAUAUAAAUACUUCAAAGCUGA